GCGCGCGUGCGCGCGGCCAGGCAGCCUGGGCGGCGGGUCCUGUCUGUGACGGACGGCGGCGGCCGGUCCUGCCUGUGACGGCGGUGGCGGCAGAUCCUGCUUGUGACUGUUUCGGCGGCUGCUCCAGACACCUGCGGCGGCGCCGGCGGCGACCCCAUGGCGGCCGCAAAGAUGUGGCCCCUGGUGGUGCUGCUGCUGGGCUCGGCUGGCUGCGGUUCGGCUCAGCUAAUAUUUAACAUAACCAGAUCUGUAGAGUACACUGCUUGCAAUGAAACUGUUAUCAUCCCGUGCUAUGUUAACAAUGUGGAGGCCACAGACAUUAAUGAAAUGUAUGUAAAGUGGAAAUUUAGAGGAAAAGACAUUUUUACCUUUAAUGGAGCUGAAGAAAAGAUCACUCGUGACAAUAAGUUUAAGAGUACAAAAAUCAUACCACAAAAAUUACUAAAUGGCAUUGCCUCUUUGGAGAUGAACAAGGAAGAGGCUGUUGUAGGAAACUACACUUGUGAAGUAACAGAAUUAAGCAGAGAAGGCGAAACCAUCAUAGAACUAAAAUAUCGUAUUGUUUCAUGGUUUUCUCCAAAUGAAAAUAUCCUCAUUGUCAUUUUCCCAAUUUUGGCUGUACUUCUUUCUUGGGGACAGUUUGGUAUUGUGACACAUAAGUAUAAAUCCAGUCUUAUGAAGGAGAAAACCAUUCUUUUAUUUGUUGGUGGACUAGUGCUCACUAUAGCUGUCAUUGUUGGAGCCAUUCUUUUCGUCCCAGGUGAAUAUUCAACAAAGAAUUCUUGUGGACUUGGUUUAAUUGUAGUUCCUACAGUAAUUUUAAUAUUACUUCAGUACUGUGUUUUUAUGAUAGGUGUUUGGAUGUCUUCCUUCACUAUCGCCAUAUUGAUCCUGCAGGUACUGGGCUAUGUGCUCUCUGUGGUUGGACUGAGCCUCUGUGUCUCAGAGUGCACCCCAGUGAACGGCCCUCUUCUGAUUUCAGGUUUGGGUAUUAUAGCUCUAGCAGAAUUACUUGGAUUAGUUUAUAUGAAACUUGUUGAAUUCAGAGGCACACCUUCGGUCAGUUGAAGGGCAAGAAGAGAAAAGCUUCCAACCAGAAGACUAUACAACCUCCUAGGAAAGCUGUAGAGGAACCCCUUAAUGAGUAACUGAAGUGAAGUGAUGGACUCUGAUUUGGAACGUAGUAAGACUUGAGAGGAAUACAGUUGUGUUUCAGCACCAUGGCCUUGAUUCACUGUUCAGGAGAAGAAAACGAGAAAAAUAACUGGUUCUCAUCUGUGGGAGAAAGUAAAUCAUUGAUCCUUAAAUGAUUGUUACAGUUAAAUUUUUAUUCAAAGCAUUUGUAAUUUAGUUAAUAAAAGAAUUAUUAUCUGUGUUGUGUGCCCAAUUGAGA